UGGUCAAGUUAUUAAGGGUGCAGGGCGGAUGCCUUGGCACUAGGAGCCGAUGAAGGACGUGAUAAGCUGCGAUAAGCUUCGGGGAGUUGCACGUAAACUUUGAUCCGAAGAUUUCCGAAUGAGGAAACUCACUUAGAGUAAUGUCUAAGUAUCAUUAAGUGAAUACAUAGCUUAAUGAGGGGAACUCAGGGAACUGAAACAUCUAAGUACCUGAAGGAAGAGAAAGAAAUUCGAUUCCGUAAGUAGCGGCGAGCGAACGCGGAUUAGCCCAAACCAAUAAAGUUUUCUUUAUUGGGGUUGCGGACAUAUCAUAACGAAGAGGUAUCGUAAUUGAAGAGGUUUGGAAAGACCCACCACAGAAGGUAAUAGUCCUGUAUGUUAAACGAGAAGACUUUAGAUAUGAUCCAGAGUACCACGGGACACGUGAAACCCUGUGGGAAGCAGGAGGGACCACCCUCCAAGGCUAAAUACUACCUAGUGACCGAUAGCGUAUAGUACCGUGAGGGAAAGGUGAAAAGAACCCCGGGAGGGGAGUGAAAUAGAACCUGAAACCCUGCACUUACAAGCUGUGGAAGCACAUUUCUUGUGUGACCGCGUACUUUUUGUAGAACGGGCCAACGAGUUACGUUAAGUAGCAAGGUUAAGCACUUAAGGUGCGGAGCCGUAGCGAAAGCGAGUUUUAACUGAGCGUUCAGUUACUUGACGUAGACCCGAAACCGGGCGACCUACCCAUGAGCAGGAUGAAGCGAAAGUAAAAUUUCGUGGAGGUCCGAACCCACGAGCGUUGAAAAGCUCGGGGAUGACUUGUGGGUAGCGGUGAAAUUCCAAUCGAGCCCGGAGAUAGCUGGUUCUCCCCGAAAUAGCUUUAGGGCUAGCCUCAAGGUGAGAGAUACGGAGGUAGAGCACUGAAUGUCCUAGGGGGUAUUGCACCUACCGAAGACUAUCAAACUCCGAAUGCCGUCAUCUUAUACUUGGGAGUCAGACUGUGGGUGAUAAGAUUCAUAGUCGAAAGGGCAACAGCCCAGAUCGUCAGCUAAGGUCCCUAAAUGUAAGUUAAGUGGUAAAGGAUGUGGGAUUGCACAGACAACCAGGAUGUUGGCUUAGAAGCAGCCACUCAUUCAAAGAGUGCGUAAUAGCUCACUGGUCGAGUGAUCCUGCGCCGAAGAUUUCCGGGGCUAAAACUUACUACCGAAGCUACGGCAUCAGUAAUGAUGGUGUAGGGGAGCUUCCCAUACGGGUUGAAGCAUGACCGUAAGGACAUGUGGACAGUAUGGGAGUGAGAAUGUUGGCAUGAGUAGCGAGAUGUGGGUGAGAAUCCCACAGGCCGUAAACCCAAGGUUUCCAGGGGGAAGGUUCGUCCGCCCUGGGUUAGUCGGGACCUAAGCUGAGGCCGAAAGGCGUAGGUGAUGGACAACAGGUUGAUAUUCCUGUACUACCGAUAACCGUUUGAGAGAAGGGAUGACACAGUAGGAUAAGCUAAGCACACUGUUGGUUAUGUGUGCCCAAGCAUUGAGGCAGUCAAAGUAGGCAAAUCCGCUUUGAUAAUGCUGGGAUGUGAUGGGGAGCGAAAUUUAGUAGCGAAGUAGCUGAUUUCACACUGUCAAGAAAAGUCUCUAUCGAGGUUAAAGGUACCCGUACCGCAAACCGACACAGGUGGGUGAGGAGAGUAUCCUAAGGCCAGCGAGAGAACUGUUGUUAAGGAACUCGGCAAAAUGACCCCGUAACUUAGGGAUAAGGGGUGCCACCAUCAGGUGGCCGCAGAGAAUAGGCCCAAGCGACUGUUUUACCAAAAACAUAGGUUUCUGCUAAGUCGCAAGACGAUGUAUAGGAGCUGACGCCUGCCCGGUGCUGGAAGGUUAAGGGGAUCUGUUAGAGCAAUCGAAGCAGUGAACUUAAGCCCCAGUAAACGGCGGCCGUAACUAUAACGGUCCUAAGGUAGCGAAAUUCCUUGUCGGGUAAGUUCCGACCCGCACGAAAGGCGUAACGAUUUGGGCACUGUCUCAACAACAGACUCGGUGAAAUUGUAAUUCCGGUGAAGAUGCCGGAUACCUGCGACAGGACGGAAAGACCCCAUGGAGCUUUACUGUAGCUUGACAUUGGGUCUUGGUACUACAUGUACAGGAUAGGUGGGAGGCUUUGAAACCAGGACGCCAGUUUUGGCGGAGCCAUCCUUGGGAUACCACCCUUGUAGUACUGGGACUCUAACCAUAGGCCAUGAAUCUGGUCUUGGGACACUGUCAGGUGGGCAGUUUGACUGGGGCGGUCGCCUCCCAAAAGGUAACGGAGGCGCUCAAAGGUUCUCUCAGUACGGUCGGAAAUCGUACGUAGAGUGUAAAGGCAAAAGAGAGCUUGAUUGCAAGACAUACAGGUCGAGCAAGGAUGAAAAUCGGACUUAGUGAUCCGGUGGUUCUGCGUGGAAGGGCCAUCGCUCAACGGAUAAAAGCUACCCUGGGGAUAACAGGCUUAUCUCCCCCAAGAGUCCACAUCGACGGGGAGGUUUGGCACCUCGAUGUCGGCUCAUCACAUCCUGGGGCUGUAGUAGGUCCCAAGGGUUGGGCUGUUCGCCCAUUAAAGUGGUACGCGAGCUGGGUUCAGAACGUCGUGAGACAGUUCGGUCCCUAUCCGUCGCAGGCGUAGGAAAUUUGAGAAGACCUGUCCUUAGUACGAGAGGACCGGGAUGGACGUACCUCUGGUGUACCAGUUGUCCUGCCAAGGGCAUGGCUGGGUAGCUAUGUACGGAAUGGAUAAGCGCUGAAAGCAUCUAAGCGCGAAGCCAACUUCAAGAUAAGAUUUCCCACCGCAAGGGUAAGACCCCAGAAAGACUAUCUGGUUGAUAGGUCGAAGGUGUAAGUGCAGCAAUGUAUUUAGCUUAUCGAUACUAAUAGGUCGAGGACUUGACCAAU
rnacentral:rRNA from 1 species